AGAGUUUGAUCCUGGCUCAGAACGAACGCUGGCGGCAGGCUUAACACAUGCAAGUCGAGCGCCCCGCAAGGGGAGCGGCAGACGGGUGAGUAACGCGUGGGAAUCUACCCAUCUCUACGGAAUAACCCAGGGAAACUUGGACUAAUACCGUAUACGCCCUUCGGGGGAAAGAUUUAUCGGAGAUGGAUGAGCCCGCGUUGGAUUAGCUAGUUGGUGGGGUAAAGGCCUACCAAGGCGACGAUCCAUAGCUGGUCUGAGAGGAUGAUCAGCCACAUUGGGACUGAGACACGGCCCAAACUCCUACGGGAGGCAGCAGUGGGGAAUAUUGGACAAUGGGCGAAAGCCUGAUCCAGCCAUGCCGCGUGAGUGAUGAAGGCCCUAGGGUUGUAAAGCUCUUUCAACGGUGAAGAUAAUGACGGUAACCGUAGAAGAAGCCCCGGCUAACUUCGUGCCAGCAGCCGCGGUAAUACGAAGGGGGCUAGCGUUGUUCGGAAUUACUGGGCGUAAAGCGCACGUAGGCGGAUACUUAAGUUAGGGGUGAAAUCCCGGGGCUCAACCCCGGAACUGCCUUUAAUACUGGGUAUCUUGAGUUCGAGAGAGGUGAGUGGAAUUCCGAGUGUAGAGGUGAAAUUCGUAGAUAUGCGGAGGAACACCGAUGGCGAAGGCAACUCCCUGGGCCUGCACUGACGCUCAUGCACGAAAGCGUGGGGAGCAAACAGGAUUAGAUACCCUGGUAGUCG
rnacentral:rRNA from 1 species